rnacentral:rRNA from 1 species
UACGGGGGGGGCAAGCGUUGUUCGGAAUUACUGGGCGUAAAGGGCUCGUAGGCGGCCAACUAAGUCAGACGUGAAAUCCCUCGGCUUAACCGGGGAACUGCGUCUGAUACUGGAUGGCUUGAAUUCGGGAGAGGGAUGCAGAAUUCCAGGUGUAGCGGUGAAAUGCGUAGAUAUCUGGAGGAAUACCGGUGGCGAAGGCGGCAUCCUGGACCGACAUUGACGCUGAGGAGCGAAAGCCAGGGGAGCAAACGGG